GAUGAACGCUGCCAGAAUGCUUAACACAUGCAAGUCAACUUGAACUUCGGUUUGGGUGGCGGACGGGUGAGUAACGCGUAAAGAACUUGCCUCACAGCUAGGGACAACAUUUGGAAACGAAUGCUAAUACCUGAUAUUAUGAUUAUAUGGCAUCGUAUAAUUAUGAAAGCUAUAUGCGCUGUGAGAGAGCUUUGCGUCCCAUUAGCUAGUUGGAGAGGUAACAGCUCACCAAGGCGAUGAUGGGUAGCCGGCCUGAGAGGGUGAUCGGCCACAAGGGGACUGAGACACGGCCCUUACUCCUACGGGAGGCAGCAGUGGGGAAUAUUGGACAAUGGACCGAGAGUCUGAUCCAGCAAUUCUGUGUGCACGAUGAAGUUUUUCGGAAUGUAAAGUGCUUUCAGUUGGGAAGAAAAAAAUGACGGUACCAACAGAAGAAGUGACGGCUAAAUACGUG
rnacentral:rRNA from 1 species